UACGUAGGGGGCAAGCGUUGUCCGGAUUUAUUGGGCGUAAAGAGCGUGUAGGCGGCCUGACAGGUCAGCUGUGAAAACUCGAGGCUCAACCUCGAGACGUCGGUUGAAACCAUCUGGCUAGAGUCCGGAAGAGGAGUGUGGAAUUCCCGGUGUAGCGGUGAAAUGCGCAGAUAUCGGGAAGAACACGCGUGGCGAAGGCGGCACUCUGGGACGGUACUGACGCUGAGACGCGAAAGCGUGGGGAGCGAACAGG
rnacentral:rRNA from 1 species